UACGUAGGUGGCAAGCGUUGUUCGGAAUUACUGGGCGUAAAGGGCUUGUAGGCGGCCAACUAAGUCGGACGUGAAAUCCCCAGGCUCAACCUGGGAACUGCGUCCGAUACUGGAUGGCUUGAAUCCGGGAGAGGGAUGCAGAAUUCCAGGUGUAGCGGUGAAAUGCGUAGAUAUCUGGAGGAAUACCGGUGGCGAAGGCGGCAUCCUGGACCGGCAUUGACGCUGAGGAGCGAAAGCCAGGGGAGCAAACGGG
rnacentral:rRNA from 1 species